UACGUAGGGAGCAAGCGUUGUCCGGAAUUACUGGGUGUAAAGGGAGCGUAGGCGGGAAGACAAGUUGAAUGUUAAAUCUAUCGGCUCAACCGGUAGCCGCGUUCAAAACUGUUUUUCUUGAGUGAAGUAGAGGUUGGCGGAAUUCCUAGUGUAGCGGUGAAAUGCGUAGAUAUUAGGAGGAACACCAGUGGCGAAGGCGGCCAACUGGGCUUUUACUGACGCUGAGGCUCGAAAGCGUGGGGAGCAAACAGGAUUAGAUACCCUGGUAGUCCACGCUGUAAACGAUGAAUACUAGGUGUGGGGGGACUGACCCCUUCCGUGCCGCAGUUAACACAAUAAGUAUUCCACCUGGGGAGUACGGCCGCAAGGUUGAA
rnacentral:rRNA from 1 species